AUUGAACGCUGGCGGCAGGCCUAAAACAUGCAAUCCGUACGAUUUCCGGACGGGUGAGUGAUUUCUGGUAAACUUUCUGAUGGGGUGGGAUAACUACUGGAAACGUUAGCUACUACCGCAUACCAUCGGUUGUGCCCAGAUGGGAUUAGCUAGUAGGUGGGGUAAAGGCUACCCUCGGCGACGAUCGCUAGCUGGUCUGAGAGGAUGACCAGCCACACGGGAACUGAGACACGGUCCAGACGCUUACGGGAGGAAGCAGUGGGGAAUAAUGCAAAAUGGGCGCAAGUAUGAUGAAGCGAUGCCGCGUGUAUGAAGAAGGCCUUCGGGUUGUAAAGUACUUUCAGCGGGGAGGCGUUACCCGCAGAAGAAGCACCGGCUAACUCCGGGCCAGCAGCCGCGGUAAUAC
rnacentral:rRNA from 1 species